rnacentral:ncRNA from 1 species
CAACCUCAACUCAUAUGGGACUACCCCCUGAAUUUAAGCAUAUUAAUUAGGGGAGGAAAAGAAACUAACAAGGAUUUUCUUAGUAGCGGCGAGCGAAAAGAAAUCAGUUCAGCACUAAGUCACUUUGUCUAUAUGGCAAAUGUGAGAUGCAGUGUACGGAACAUCAACAUUCUAGUAUGAGAAGUUAACGAUUUAAGUCCUUCUUAAAUGAGGCCAUUUACCCAUAGAGGGUGCCAGGCCCGUAUAACGUUAAUGAUUACUAGAUGGGGUUUCCAAAGAGUCGUGUUGCUUGAUAGUGCAGCACUAAGUGGGUGGUAAACUCCAUCUAAGACUAAAUAUAACCAUGAGACCGAUAGUAAACAAGUACCGUGAGGGAAAGUUGAAAAGAACUCUGAAUAGAGAGUUAAAUAGUACGUGAAACUGCUUAGAGGUUAAGCCCGAUGAACCUGAAUAUCCGUUAUGGAAAAUUCAUCAUUAGAAUUGUAAUAUUUUAAACAAUAUUAUAAUAAUAGUGUGCAUUUUUUCCAUAUAAGGACAUUGUAAUCUAUUAGCAUAAAUAUUUAUCAUAAAAUUAUGUCUGAUUGCUUAUUUGAAUUAUAUGCUUGGCAUUUUAACAUAAAAUAAAAGAUAUAAAUUUGAUAAAGUGCUGAUAGAUUUAUAUGAUUACAGUGCGUUAAUUUUUCGGAAUUAUAUAAUGGCAUAAUUAUCAUUGAUAUUUGUGUUUAUUAUAUGCAUUUGUAUGAUUAACAAUGCGAAAGAUUCAGGAUACC